CACUAUUCAUAACUGUAAAUAAAUUAAGUGUUUACCAGAGUACUAUGAAUAUCUAAAAAAUUUAAAACUCAAAGGGCUUGGCGGUGUUUUAGACCUAUCAGGGGAACCUGUCUCGUAAUCGACAAUCCGCGUAAAACCUAACCCUAUUUUGUACCCAGUUUGUAUACCGUCGUCGUCAGGUAACUUUUAAAAAAUUAGAAGUUAGCAAUAAAAAUAAAAUAGAUUAAUACGUCAGAUCAUGGUGCAGCUAAUGAAAGGGAGAGGAUGGGUUACAAUUAUGUAUUUAUAAUUACGGAUAGUUAAGUGAAAGUAUAACUUGAAGGAGGACUUGAAAGUAAAAUAAAAUAUAUAAACAAUUUGAAUAGGGCUCUGAAACGUGC
rnacentral:rRNA from 1 species